CGAAAGCGUGGGGAGCAAACAGGAUUAGAUACCCUGGUAGUCCACGCCGUAAACGAUGAGUGCUAAGUGUUAGAGGGUUUCCGCCCUUUAGUGCUGCAGCUAACGCAUUAAGCACUCCGCCUGGGGAGUACGGUCGCAAGACUGAAACUCAAAGGAAUUGACGGGGGCCCGCACAAGCGGUGGAGCWUGUGGUUUAAUUCGAAGCAACGCGAAGAACCUUACCAGGUCUUGACAUCCUCUGACAACUCUAGAGAUAGAGCGUUCCCCUUCGGGGGACAGAGUGACAGGUGGUGCAUGGUUGUCGUCAGCUCGUGUCGUGAGAUGUUGGGUUAAGUCCCGCAACGAGCGCAACCCUUGAUCUUAGUUGCCAGCAUUUAGUUGGGCACUCUAAGGUGACUGCCGGUGACAAACCGGAGGAAGGUGGGGAUGACGUCAAAUCAUCAUGCCCCUUAUGACCUGGGCUACACACGUGCUACAAUGGAUGGUACAAAGGGCUGCAAGACCGCGAGGUCAAGCCAAUCCCAUAAAACCAUUCUCAGUUCGGAUUGUAGGCUGCAACUCGCCUACAUGAAGCUGGAAUCGCUAGUAAUC
rnacentral:rRNA from 1 species